rnacentral:rRNA from 1 species
UACGGGGGGGGCAAGCGUUGUUCGGAAUUACUGGGCGUAAAGGGCGCGUAGGCGGUUCGAUAAGUCAGCUGUGAAAACCAUGGGCUUAACUCAUGGCCUGCAGUUGAGACUGUCGGGCUGGAGUGUGGGAGAGGAGAGUGGAAUUCCGUGGUGUAGCGGUGAAAUGCGUAGAUAUCAGGAGGAACACCGGUGGCGAAGGCGGCUCUCUGGACCACAACUGACGCUGAGGCGCGAAAGCUAGGGGAGCAAACAGG